CUCCCUUUCAAUACAAAUAUGACAUCCUUUUUAUAGGAAUCAAAUCUCAUAAGGUGCCACGAUGCCUCGUGGUUCUUUUGUCUGUCGUGCUUCUAUUGCCAUGAUGCGUCGUGAUAUCUUUUUAUUACUUUAUUUGCUUUAUCAUGAUAUUUGUAAUUCCUGCAAAAUACUAUUAGAAAAUACAAAUAAUUGACAUACACAGAGAGAUAUAUAUUAUUUAAAAAAAUUAUUUUUAAGUAUAUAAUAUAUGAAUACUUAUAUCCAUCAAACUCCCCCUCACUUGAAUUUUUGCUCAUCCUCGAGGUAGUAAUUUUAUUAAUAAUUGUUGUUUCUUGUAGAGUAGAAAAGUAAAAAAAAUAAAAUUUCACAUAAAAUUCAAAACCUAUAAGUUUUUCAAGUCGUCAAACCUUUACCUUGUUUCUAUUUCUGCUUUUGUUUGCCAAAAACUUUCAACUCCUCUUUUGAGAUUGAUAACAUUAUGAUUACAAUUUCGAGUUUUUCAAAUUUUGUCCAUAGGCUUUCCCUUCAUGUCAGUGUCCACUAAUGUAGAAUCAAAACUAAUUUUAAAAUUAUUUUAGGACUUUUUCAGGCUUGCAAUAAUAGGUUUAAUGUUGGUAAGGUAAAAGAAUAUAUUUGUAGUGACUUUGUUCCAUCCAGCUUUAUUAUGAGAGCAGAUUAUUUUUACCAAAGUAACUAUGUACAAGUCAACACAAGAUAUUAACUCUAGAACGAUUAUAUUAUCAAAGUAACUAUGUACAACUCAGCAAAAGAAAAUAACUUUAGAGAUUGGGAUAAAGGUCCCGAUCUCCAAUUUCAUAAUUAAUAUCACUUAAGUCAUCAUUUCUCUCGAUAGAUUUCUUAAAUUCAAGCCUCUUGAACCAAUAAUUUAAUUUACAGGUAUAUACACCUUGUUUUCCUCUUCUGUUUUUUAAGAGCGAAAUAGAUCAUUUACUCUAUAAGUAUUCCUUCAUCGCUUGUUUUAAUAAUCAUUUUUACUCUAUAAGUGACAACACAUGUUUUUAUAUGCAAUAUACUGACUAAUUUAAGACUUUAUUAGUCAUUUAGUCCUUGUUUAAAAAUAAACCAACAAAUUUACCUGUGCUAACAUUUUGAAUUGAUUCAUUAAAUGGUUAAUCAACCAGUUACUUGGGCAUGCCGAUCACCAUGGAGUUACUCCUGCACAUGUGACUCUGUUUUUGUAGAGGCCUUCAUGAUAUGUUAUGGUUGUACAAUAACCUGGAUAUUGACCAGAUAAAUUGAUUAAGCAUUUAAUUACCCAAAUCUAUGUCGGGAUUAUGAGGCUCCACUGCUUCUCCCUCAAUGGCUACGGAUUUUGUAUCUUAGUUCUGAGUUUAACGUUGUCAGCUCGACUUAUUAAUUGUAGAAUUCAUCACUCUAUCAAAGUAACUGAUGGAUGUUGUUCAAAAUGUCUUCCACGGUACAAUUUUAGCCGGUGACCAAAUACCUUAAACUUGUCUCCUCCUUUUUUCUGAAUUUCUAUUGUCCCGUAUGGAGUAACGCCUGUAACAUUGUAAGGACCUGUCCACCUGGAUUUUAAUUUUCCUGGAAAUAACCUGAGUCGGCUAUUGUAAAGAAGUACUUGAUCUCCAAUUUUAAAACUCUUUGGUUGGAUCAACUUGUCAUGCAAUAUUUUUGUUUUUUCUUUAAAAUUUUUAGCAUUUUCAUAGGCUCCCAACCUCAGUUCUUCCAAUUCAUUAACCUGAAUAAAUCACUUUUUACCAGCAGAGGUUAAAUCAAAGUUUAAUGCUUUCAAUGCCCAAAAAGCUUUAUGUUCUAACUCUACAGGCAAAUGACAAGCUUUUACAAAGACUAAUCUAUAUGGAGAUGUUCCAAUUGGCAUUUUGAAGGCCGUAUGGUACGCCCAUAGUGCAUCAUCUAAUUUUAAAGCCCAGUCUUUUCUUGAGAUUCCAACCGUUUUUUCAAGAAUUCUUUUUAGCUCGCAGUUUGAAACCUUAACUCGCCCUUGAGUUUGAGCAUGAUAUGGUGUUCCGGUUUUGUGAGUCACAUUAUAUUUUGACAGUAAAGCAGAAAAUUGUCUAUUGAUAAAAUGAGUUCCUUGAUCGCUAAUAAUAACUCGCGGUGUGCCAAAUCUAGUAAAAAUAUUUUUUCUAAGAAAAUUGCACAUUGUACGAGCAUUAUUCUUUCUUGUGGGGAUGGCUUCAAUCGAUUUUGACACAUAAUCCACAUGUUGUACGAGCAUCAUUCUUUCUUGUGGGUAUGGCUUCAACCCAUUUUGACACAUAAUCCAUAGCCACAAGAAUAUAUUCAAAAGAGUGAGAAGAAGGAAAAGGACCCAAUAAAUCUAUUUCCUAAACAGCAAAUAUUUCACAUACCUGUAUUGAUUGCAGUGACAUCUCAUCUCUCUUGGUGAUAUUACCUUCUCUGACACCUGUCACAUUGUGCUACAUAUGCUCGGGAAUCUUUAAAGAGUGUGGUCCAGAAGAAUCCGGCUUCUAAAAUUUUAAAAGCUGUUCGAUUUGCUGCAUAAUGUCCUCCAAUUGCUCCAUCAUGACAGUGAUAUAGAAUUUUAUUCAUCUCUUCUUCAGGUACACACCUUCUAAUGAUAUUAUCUACACAAUUUUUGAAUAAGUAAAGUUCAUCCCACAGAUAAUACUUUACAUCAGAUAUAAACUUUUUCCUUUGUUGAUAAGAAAAAUCUUGCGGUAUCCACUUUCCAACCAAGUAAUUCGCGAUAUCUGCAAACUAGGGUGGUUGAAUCACAAUUGUGUUAACUGAAAAAAUAUGUUCAUCAGGAAAUUCUUCUUUUAUCUCAUUAAAAUCAAGGGGAGGGGGGGGUUUUCUAAUCUAGACAAAUGGUCAGCUACUUGGUUCUCUAUCCCUUUCUUGUCCUUUAUCUCAAGGUCAAAUUCUUGCAUAAGUAAAAUCCAUCUUAAUAAUCUAGGUCGAGCAUCUUUCUUAGCUAAGAGGUAUUUUAAAGAUGCAUGAUCAGUGAAAACAAUUACCUUUAUUCCUAUCAAAUAGGAACGAAAUUUAUCAAAAGCAAACACUACUGCUAGUAACUCUUUUUCUGUCGUGGCAUAAUUCACUUGGGUCUCACUCAAUGUCCUACUAGCAUAGUAAAUAGGACGGAAUAUCCUAUAUUUUCUUUGGCCUAAAACCGCUCCAACCAUUGUAUCACUAGCAUCACACAUGACCUCAAAAGGUUGGUUCCAAUCAGGGGACACAACUACAAGUGCAGUUAACUUUUUAUUAAGGGUCUCAAACGCUUUCACACAUUCACCUUAAAAUAAAACUUAAUGUCUUUCAUCAAGAGGUUAGUCAGCGGUUUUGAAAUCUUUAAGAAAUAUUUUAUGACUCGUCUCUAAACACCUGCAUGGCCUAGAAAGCUCCUAAUGUCUUUCACGGUUGUGGAAGGGGGUAAUCCCGCUAUAAGAUUAAUUUUUGCCUUAUCAAUUACCCUUUAGCAGUGAUUUUAUGUCCUAAAACAAUUCCUUCUGUAAUCAUAAAAUGACAUUUUUCCCAAUUAAGAACUAAGUUUGUUUCUUCACAUCUUUUAAGAACUAGGUCAAGUGGUUUAGACAAUCCUUAUAUGUUUUGCCAAAUAGUGUAAAAUCAUCCAUAAAAUUUUCAAUAAAUUUGUCAGUCAUGUCAGCAAAAAUUGCCGACAUGCAACACUGAAAUGUAGCAGAGGCGUUGCACAGACCAAAUGAUAUUCUCCUAUAGGCAUAUAUUCUAUGAGGGCAUGCGAAGGUUGUCUUAUCUUGAUCUUCUGGUGCAAUUGGUAUCUGAUUAUAUCCUGCUUCCAACAGCUUUACGAUCUCUUUCUUCACUACUUCCUGCAUUGCUGGAUUCAAUCUUCUUUGCGGCUGGCUGAUUAUAUCCUGAAUAACCAUCAAGAAAAUAGUAAAAUCCAUAUCCUGCAAUUCUUUCCAACAUUUGAUAAUUAAAUGGCAAAGGAAAAUGAUCUUUUCUAGUGACAUCAUUGAGACGUCUGUAAUCAAUACAAACUUUCCAUCUUGUAACAGUCCUGGUAGGUAUGAGAUCAUUAUUUUUAUUUUUUAUAACCGUCAUACCUCCUUUCUUUGGUACUACCUGAAAGGGACUUACCUACGGGCUAUCAGAAAUGGGGUACAUAAUACAUGCUGCCAACAGCUUUACGAUCUCUUUCUUCACUACUUCUUGCAUUGCUGGAUUCAAUCUUCUUUGCGGCUGAACUAUUGGCUUGUAACUAUCCUCCAUGAGGAUUAUAUGUGUUCAAAUAGCCGGACUAAUCCCUUUAGUAUCUUCUACAGUCCACCCCAAGGCUCCUUUGUGUGCUUUCAAUACCUUAAUCAAACUAGUUUCUUGUUCUGCAGUAAGAGAAGAAGAAAUAAUUACUGGAAAUAAUUCUUUCUCAAGAUAUACAUAUUUCAAAUUAGAAGGGAGAGUUUUGAGUUCAAUUUUUGAUUGAACUUCUUCGGAUGUCAUCUCUUCUUCCUCUGAAUCUUUGUCAAAUAUUUCAGCUUCACUUCUGAUUGUGAGAUCAUCGUCAUGUGUGGUGCCUGAUUUGAUCAAGCAUCUUUCCAAUAUUUCAGCUUUACUUCUGAUUGUGGUGUCCUGAUUUGAUCAAGCAUCUAUCUGGAAUUAAUUGAUCAUCUUUGAAUUCAUCUUUAAGAUAACUAAUCAUGUCAAUUGAAAAACAUAAAGAUGAUGCUUCAUCUCCUGAAUAUCUUAGUAUCUUUUGCAUAUCAAAGAUGACUCUCUCUUUAUCAACUCUCAAAAUUAGUUGUCCUUGAUGAACAUCUAUAAUUGCUCUUCCUGUAGCAAGAAAUGGUCUACCUAAUAUUAUUGGUUCAUUAGGACAUUCUUUCAUUUCAAGAACUAUAAAAUCUACAUGGAAAAUAAACUUAUCUACUCUAAUUAGGACAUUCUUUCAUUUCAAUCACUAUAAAAUAUACAGGGAAAAAAAACUUAUCUACUUUUACGAGUACAUUUUCAUAUUCCCUUAGGUUUCUUAGUACUUUGAUCUGCAAACUAAAAAGAAACACUUGUGUCUUUUAUUUCACCAAGAUCUAACUUUUUAAAGAUAGAAAAUGACAUUAAAUUUAUUGAAGCUCCAUAAUCAAAAAGUGGUUUUUCAAAAUAUACUUCUCCCAAAGUACAUAGAAAUUGUAAAACUGCCUGGACCACCAAGUUUUUGUGGUAGCUUAUUUUGAAGAUUUUUCAAUAUUUUUUUCUUCUUUUUUCUUGACUUCAUUCUUUUCAGAUGGUUCAGAGGGUAUUUCAACAUUCUUACCAUUGUUUACCUGUUGUUCUGACUGGUCUACAUAGGGUUCAUCAAGCUCCUUACCCGACCGUAAGGCGAUGUCUUUAAGGUGCUCUUUUGGAUAACUGGUCUGCAUAGGGUUCAUCAAGCUCCUUACCUGACCGUAAGGUUGAUGGCCUUAAGGUGCUCUUUUGGAUUUUUCUAUGUAUUGGUUGGUAAGGGACCUUGAAUCUUUUCUGAAACAAGAGCUGUCAAUUGGCUCAACUGUAUUUUAAGAUUUUUGAGGGAUGAAUUUUGGCUCUCCAUCUUUUCAUCGGUGACCUUAAUAUACUUAUAUAGAAGAUCAUCAAGACUUGAAUGAACUUGUUGAGACCUUUGUUGAUAGGGCCCUGCUUGUAGAUAAAGUCUAAAGUUUGAUUGACCAUGGUUUGGAUUCUGGUAUCCGGGUGGACCCUGUAUUUGUUGCUUCUGGAAGAUUUGAGAGUUCUCUGCACCAUUUGGAUUGCUCCAUUGAAAUCCUGGAUGUGUCUGUGCCAUUGGACUUCCAAAAGGAUACUGAUUGUAACUGAUGACAUUGACAUGGUCAUCAUUGUGAUUGGUUGCUUGACAUUCAUGAUUCUGAUGAUUUCCUCCACAAAUGUCACAAGCCUCAGAUUGACUUGGUUGUUGUGUAUUCACCUGAAAAGUCUCAAACUUUUGUGCCAAAGAAACAAUUUGCUGCGUUAGUGUAUUUAAAUCAUCAACCUGAUUUAUUGUAGCAGCCAUCUUGAUAAAUUAUACGCUCAGAUGGCCAUUGGAUGGAAUUCUCAGAAAUUUCAUUCAAUAAUUGCAAUGCUUCCUCUGUUGUUUUCCCAUUACUGAACCUCCUGCGGCUGCAUCUAUCACAUUUCUAGAAGAGUGUUUUAGCCCAUGAUAAAAAAUAUACAACUGCAUAUGUUCAGGAAUAUCGUGGUGUGGACAUUUUCUUAACAUUGCUUUAACCUUUCCCAAGCUUGAUAAACCGACUAUGCGCCAGUCUGCAAGAUAAUAGAUAUGUCUUGUCUUAACUUUGUGGUUUUAGUAGGGAAAAAAUAUUUAUUUAAAAUUUUUUGAGUCAUUUGGUCUCAUGUGGUAAUUGAUCCUUGACGCAAACUUCGCAACCAAGUCUUAGCAUCUCAUUUUAAAGAAAAAGGAAAUAACCUUAACUUAAUUGCUUUAGGGGAUACUCCAUACUUAGCAGUUUCAACUAGUUCUAGAAAAUCAAUUAGAUGACUAUGUGGAUAUUCACUUGAAUCUCCAGUGAAGAUACAAGAUUGUUGGAUCGUUUGAAUCAGGCAAGUCCUGAUUUCAAAGUUGUUGGCUACCACUAGGGGCUUCUUGACACUAGAUUCACAGUUGAAGUGGUCAAGUCUAGCAUAAUCCCUUAGGAUUCUGUUUGCUGGUCUUGGCGCCACUUCAUCAAAUUGAUCCUCUAAAUGGACUGGUGGUGGCACUUUGUGUUGAGUGAUAUCUUCUACUCCUUGGUUUUCCAUUCCUUCACAAGCUAUACUCUGAGAAGAUGAUGUUUGUUCUUUCCUGCGUAAAUGAAGAGAUCUUUCAAUUUCACGAUUAUAAUGUGCCAACUCUUUUGUAGAAGAGCGGGUCAUAAACUAAGUGAUUUUUUUUGUUUAAAAUAAGAUUUUUUUAAUGACAAUUAAACUUAAUUCCUACAAUAACAGUGUCACUAAAAGAACAUAAUAAAAGAAAAGUAGCAGUAGUGAAUAGUACACUUAGUAAUAAUAAUUAUCUAUAUUAAAGGAAAAGAUAGUAUAAACAGUAUAUUAUGAUGAAAGUGCUAUGACAUGAAGUUGCUCACAAUAUCAUAAGAGUAAUAGAUAAACACAUUAAUUAUAUUUACACAUAUUAAUAAUAAAAACAACAGGUAAUGGUUACAACAAUGAGAAAGAAGGAAAAACAUUUUUAAUUACUACGAAAAAUGUUAGAAUGGAUAUAAUAGUAAUAGUUAUAGAAAUAUUUAGCAGGUGAUGAUAAUACNNNNNNNNNNNNNNNNNNNNNNNNNNNNNNNNNNNNNNNNNNNNNNNNNNNNNNNNNNNNNNNNNNAAUACUAACAAAAAUAAGGAUACCAAUACAUAUAAUAAUAAAUUCUCAAAUUAGUAAUAAAAUAUUUAAUUUGAAGUAGACUUAUGCCAAUCCCCGGCAUCGGCGCCAAAAAUUUGACGAGGCCAAUGUGUAUAGGAUUUUCCUGCUCGUGCUUAGUCAAAUUCUAAUAUAGUUUAAGAUAUUGUCCCACAAAGAUUGGAAAAUCUAGCUAUAAACUUACAAUAUUCUUACUACUAUUUUAGAGAACCAAGUUGAUGAAGUUUUGUUUGUUGAAAAUCUAAAUUGCUUAAGUUGAAACAAAAUAUCUUUCGAAAGAUUUAUAUUAAAAUAGAGUUGGGAAUCAUUGAAUUCACUCGAUAGCGUGAUAAUAAUAAAAUCUUAGGUUCUACAUGUAUUUCUCUUAGGAAUAACUAUUUAUUGCUAAUACAAUUAUAUUUGCUCACCAGGAAAUAAUCAAUUAAUAACACUCUGUGAGAUUAUGUAAAUCAAUUGAUAUAUGACUCGUGACGAUUAAACUGAAAUAAUUUUCUUGCCUGAAUGUUCACCAAGAAAUAAUCAAUUAAUAACACUCCGUGAGAAUUAUGUACAUCAAUUGAUAUAUGACUCGUGAAGAUUAAACUGAAAUAAUUUUCUUGCCUGAAUUGUGCUAUAAGAUAGUAAAAACCUCUUGCAAUUACUUUUUACAAAAAAUCAAUAAUCUUGCCAACUACAACUUCUCCAUGAGAAUUAGAAUGGAAGUAAGCAAGAUUACAAACUUGGAAUGAUAGCUUAAAAAGAAUUACUCUCACUCUAUUAUUUUAAUCUUAAAAAUCAAUAAUCUUGCCAACUACAACUCCUCCGUGAUAAUUAGAAUGGAAGUAAGCAAGAUUACAGCCUUGGAAUAAUAACUUAAAAAGAAUUACUCUCACUCUAUUAUUUUACCCAAUAGAUAUCGUAUAUUGAUUUUGCUUCGUGAGAAUUACAAAAUUGACAUACAACUAACUUUGAAGAAUAAAUAGAUAGAAGUGAUAAUAAUUAACUAAAACUAACAUUCCAACACAAUAUAGAAAUAUAAUUAGAAAGUUUCAGGUCAAGCAUGUAGUAAAAUUGAGAUUAAUAUUAUAACGAUAUCGAGCUUCAUCAACUAUCUCUACAAAAGAGAUUACUCCGUUAUGGAGUAUUUAAUCUCACAAAGAAAAGAAUUCUUAAAAUAAUAUCAACACUCUUAGAAAAUUCCUAAAGACUACAAGAUAAAGUAAAAUGAAAGGAAUUCUUAAAAUAAUAUCAACACUCUUAGAAAUUCCCUCCAAAGACUACAAGAUAAAGUGAAAUAUAUAACGAAAAAAGUAAAGACUAAAUCUAGAGAAAAGUUAUUUUGCUAGGUACGUAUGAUCUUCCUCCCUCCCUUUCUAUAAAAAGGAUGUCAUAUUUUUAUUGAAAGGGAGGGAGGAAGAUCAUACGUACCUAGCAAAAUAACUUUUCUCUAGAUUUAGUCUUUACAAAAUAUGACAUCCUUUUUAUAGGAAUCAAAUCUCAUAAGGUGCCAUGAUGCCUCGUGGUUCUUUUGCCAUGAUGCCCGUGCUUCUAUUGCCAUGAUCGUCGUGAUCUCUUUUUAUUCCUUUAUUUGCUUUAUCAUGAUAUUUGCAAUUCCUGCAAAAUGCUAUUAGAAAAUACAGAUAAUUGACACACACACACAUAUUAUUUAAAAUAAUUUAUUUUUAAGUAUAUAAUAUAUGAAUAUUUUAUAUCCAUCAGUUUUGUAUUACAUCCUUUCCUAAUUUUCGUUUUUGCUUAGGUAUCCCAAGAAAACUGACUUGUUUCCAAAGUUAUACCACCAAACUUUAUAGAAUUCUAAAGUGAACCCCAUCUAGAAUGUCCUAGAGGACUCCAUUCAGAUUUUAAAAGAUCCCCUACCCUUGUAUUACCCCAAUUACCUCUCUUGGUAAACUAAAAUUACUAACUAUGACCAAACAGUUUCCUAAAAUUCUAAUUUACCAAUUAUUGAAGAACAGACAUUGUUUUAUCUGUUGUGAACUCCAAAUUAACUACCAAUUACCAAAAGAACACUGAUGAAUGAUUCACUUUAUACCAAACCAAAUUAUAUUAUCAGAGGAAAGAAUACUAACACAAUCUCACUAAUAAGAACAAACAACAAACAGAACCAUAAAAGAACAGAAUCGAACAGCAAAAAUCACCUAACAAUCAUUUAACAAAAUCUAAGCUGAAUAGCUCAAAGACAAAUGUAAAAUGCGAAGCUAAUAUAUAAAUGGAAAACCUAGGCUGAAUUGUUAAAUAAUUAACACUAAUAUGCCGGAAACUGAUUCAAUUAUUAGAACGACCUAAUUAAACUAAGCGAUUAAACCAAGCAGAAAUGGUAAACGAAUUUGAACCCAAUAGGAAUUCGGAGAGAGUAAGAAGACGACAGAAAUGGAGGGGGGAUAAUAGAGGGAAAAAGACAAACAACUAUAAACACAAAAUAUAAAGAAAACUUACCAUCCUAAGAGUUCGAUUUCAAAAAUUCCAAGAAAAAGCACAGAAUCCUAACAUCGCGAGUUUCGGUUCUUCAUAUUCGACUUUUGAGGGAUUUGACUGGCAUUCGAGAGAGGGGGAGGAUAGAUACAAGGCGAGGGGGUCUGGUGGUUAAGCGGUACCAAUUUGAGGGUGAUAUAAGGAAUUUAGGGGUUCUGGUCAUGAAUUUCGAACAAAUAUUCGAGAAGAUGGGCACUAAUUCGAGGAAAACUGAGGUGAGAUAUAGAGAGAGGAAGGGGAAAGGAGCAUGGGGUGUGAUUUUGGAGUGGUUUGGAGCUUCGCCGCCGUUGUGGGCGAUUUCCGGCGGCAGUAGACGGUGGUGCAGCAGGGGGUACGAGGAAGAUGAAGAAUGUCGUUUAGGC
rnacentral:lncRNA from 1 species